AUAUUUUUCUGCAUCCUACCAGAGAUUCAUUCGGUAUUCCGGUACUCCUUUCUGAAAGCAUCGUCCGAACGGGGGGGCCUCCGACCUCUCGCGCGAGGCAACCUCAUGGCCCCGGCGCGGCGGCGGCGGCGUGAGCACCGGUCUCUCUCUCGUAAGCACGGUAGUAAUUCUUGGUGUCGGUGACGUCACCGGGAAGACAGACGACGAUUACGCGAUCCCGAGAGGGGGGCCGGACCACCCACGCGUCACUCUGGUGUCCACCACUGAGAACGUAUAGUAAACGUUCUCCACUCGUUGAUGAAGGCGAGACGUUGCGAGACGUCUCUCUCCCUUCCCCUCUUUCUUCCCCCUUUCCUUUCUUUCUCUCCCUUUCGGCGCUCGGUAUCGAAGCAAAACCAACGAUUAUCCGUACGCGCGAAUCAUGCCCGAUCACGGCGAUUAUCGGCUUAUCCAUGCGGCCGGAUGGCGGCCAGAGCACUGUUUUAUUUUCCGCGGGCAAAAGCGGCUGGCCAGGCUGCUGGUGGCCGUCGGCUCGUUAUGUCUCGACGUGUCGACGUCGACGUCGACGUCGCGAAACGCCGGGCACGAUGCGCGGGGCCCGGCUAAAGGCUAAAGUUAGCCCGAAUGUCCCUGAACGGCGAGUCCCUGUCCUUAAUGCACGAUGAACGGCGCGAUCGAUCGGCGCGAACGGUAAUUAGCGAUGCCGAUCCGCAGCAGUAGCAGCAGCAGCAACAACAGCAGUCGCCGCCGCCGCCGCCGCCGCCGCUGUCACGUCGGUUGCCAAUUCCGUCGACCAUCGAUCCGUUCAAUAAUCGCAGUUUGCUCGCGAGGGAAAAGCAAACCCGCCGAUGUUUGAGUGCGAACGCAUCAAAUGCGACUCUCGUUCGUUAGAACGACCCGAAUAUUUCGACCACGUGAUGACGCCGGUAAUCUCGCUGCCAGAAGCAUAAAUCUGACGUAUCCGGAGAGGCACGAUACGCUCCAUUAAAAUUCCACAAAGACGUGCAAUGGAAUCGGAGAAUGAAGAAUCAUGAAACACGCGAGACACGAGUGGGUGAUGGAGCAUCGGCUGCGCAAUCCACCGGUCCGGACCACUUCCCCGACUGGCGCCGAAAAUAAACGUGUACGUCGACAGCGUAUCGGGAUGCAAACCAAAAUAAAUCGACGCUGCGUCUUGCGACGUCUCGCUUCGCGAAUUUACUCGUCAGAUUAUCCGACGCGUCCACCGGCAGGCAAUCGUAUAAUUAAUCUAAGAAAUCUUUUGCUCAAUAAAAUGAUCCACAAUGCAA